rnacentral:lncRNA from 1 species
AUGUAUAUCAGUGCUAAAGGUACUGCUCGCACCUCUGGGGUACACAGACAUAAAUGGUCUCAUCUGGACAGAGAACUCUGAACAUUUUUUGAUCGACAGCUCUGAACAGAUGCAUGAACCACACGGUUUAAGUCAAGGUGCCGGGGUGAGGUGCUCCACUCUGCUCUGUCUUUAGCCUGUGAAUGGCUCAGACUCUUGGAUGUUCCUGGCUUAGCUAGGUUUCCAUGGCCCUGCACAGAGCUUGGCGUGACAGCAGGUACUCCAAACAUGCCUGAACAAGUUGUUAUCUCCAUCCAUUAGAUGAUGCCAUUGGUUCAAUUCAACUUUGACUAGAACUUGCGGGUCUUUUCGAUUCCAACAGGUAACAUUGUAUCUGCAGAAGGCUGGAUCUUCUUUGUCAGGUUUCAACACUACUGUCACCUUCUCCAAACGUCUCUCCUAACCAUUUGAUCAAACGAAUCUUCGCAUACCCCAGUCAACAGCUACUAUCCUCUCUACUUUAUUUUCUUCACGGGUUUUAGUAUCUGAAACUGUCCCCCCAGGGUUGACAAGCAUUGCAUGCCAGGUUCUGUACAUAAAUGUAGCUAUAAUUAAGCAUUAAUCAGGCUGGACUUUGACUCAAUUUGUUUUUGUUAAAAGUCAUGUAGCACUGGAUA